AUCCUUUCUUAUUUCAUCUCCAUGCUCGGAGGCGGGGGGUGCGGGGGGGGACCCCGCUCCCGUCCCCAUCACAGGCACCUACCUUCAUCUCCUCGUUGAUCUCCCGCUUCACCGGCUGUAAAUCACUGGCACUUCAUAGCAUGAAAAGUUGAGCACAACUUUGUUCGUUUUGCUGCUAAAAUGAGCCUUGCCUGCCUGCCUGUCAGAGCGAUUAGAGACACAGGGCACAUUUUCCCCCGUGACUUUGAGAAUAAGAAGAAAUGGGGAUUUUGCACAGUCUCAGCUGUUAGAGCAUCUACCAUCUAAAGGUAAGAUAGCAACCAGAUUGAUCCUGUAAAAUCCUAGAGCACAUCCGCAGUGGUAAGGUCACGGCCGCUGCGAUGCGAAGGUGCUGCCACUCCCCUCGCUGCCUGAAAGAAUCAGGCAGAUGUUGGAAAAAACCCAGCCCUGAUCGUUUGUUUUUCGCAGAGCAGCAGGACCUCGGAGAGACCCUAGAGAAGGCUCUGCUGACAGCAAAGAGUUGCAGGAGUUCAGCUGCAGCAGGGCUCGUGCUGUGGGCUCAGUCCAUUCCGCGCACCCCAGGGAACACAAGGUCUGGGCUCAAACCCACCAAGCAGCAAGCACGAGAAGAAACCAAGGACCCUCCCAAAUCACAUCAUCUUCUCUCAUUUUAAGAGAUACUGAGAUGGAACUCACUGGAAAAAAAAUCGAUAGAAAAUCUAGAAAUCCAUGGGGUAGGGAAUUUAGUAGAGGGUACAUGGAUUACUCGGCUCCAAAACAUUGCUGAUCUGAGUCCCUGUCCAAAUUCCCCUGAGUGGAGCACUGCCCAUCAGAGGAGAUGGCCUGAGAGGCUCUUACAAUUGAAACUGGGUAGGGAGGUGAACAAACAGUGGCUCUAAGAAGGGGUGCUGACUGAUGAGCCAGCGAGGAGGGAGUUAUGUUCUAAGGGCAUGUGGCACAGGAGGGGUUUGUCCCACUGCCUGUGUGGCGCUGCUGAGACCCAGCAGGAGCUUUGGAUUCUCAUCUGUGCCAUGCACCGAUGAACUAUUGUAUCCCUGAUGAGCUACUGUGUCCCUGAGUCUGGUGUGCAGAGUGAAAAGAGUAACAUACACCUUCUCUGUCAAAGGACCCCCAUGUAUCACAGAUAUAUUUAUUUGUUUUGGAAAAAAACGUAUGCAUCCGUUAUCAUUUAUUAACCAGCAACACAUCAAAUUCUGAUAUUGGUAUCUCAAUAGGUAUAAUUAGGCUUAAAAAAUAAUACCUUUAAGUGUCAAAUUCUGUCCAAGGGACGUGUCUCCUACUGAAACCAACUGAUGCUAAAUGAUGGUGUUCUUUCAGUGUCUAACUAUAGGAUCAAUACAGCCUUCGCCCUUGUCAGUAGUUCUGUCAGCUGCUAGGAAGACAGGCAGCCUCGUAGACAAGACACAGACAACGAGGUCAAGAGAAGUGGAUUCUAUUCUCAGUUUGCCUUAGGGCUUUUGCAAAGCCUUGGACAAAUCACACAACCUCUCCAUUAAACCUCCUGACUUCCAAAAUGGAAAUGAUCAUAACUGUCUGCUUUCCCAGGAUGCCAUGGAGUAAAUCAAUUCUUGGGAGGAGGGAAAGGGGGGAAUAGGGGUGUGUGGGAACAACAACUGCAUUGGUGCUUUGGAAGGAACAGACAUAUUUCUGUUUACUUUUAUUUUUGUAAACAGUCUUAAGAGUGCAACUGGGAUUUAACAUAUUAAAAAAUUAAGCAACACUUAGAAGAUUUGGUUAUGCAGACAGGUUAUAGUUACUACAAUAUAUUAACAUUGCUAGUCUCAUUCUCCUACAGACACAAUUUAUUUUGGAUAAGGCCAGGGCAACUAUGAAAAUUUGAAAGUUCAAAUGUUCCCAAUCAAAUGAGAGUGCUUCGCAAUUGUUUUACUUUAGAUGGCAAUCAGGAAAAUAUUUCCACAUUUCAUGUACUAGAAAAGAUAUCCAGAGUUGGCAUUAGUAGUGGCUUUGAUGUAUUCUCUGGUACAUUGGUCCAGAGCAUGCUGAUAUAAACAGAAGUGUCUCUUGACCUGUCAUCUUUGUUCUUCAACUUUGAUAUUGGCCCCCUCCAGUGGCUUCUUUCUCCUCCUGGGGAGGCUUAAAAAGUCAAUUGAUACAGAAAAAAAAAAAAAAAGUUUCAGUUUUCUUCUCUGCUUAAGACU